ACAGAUGCAUUUUGUAAGAGUAUUUUGAAGAUGAAUGUUUUCAAAUCAUUUUGAAAUAGCCAAGCACCAUAUACAUGGGAUGAAUCUUGCUUUUGUCCUGGAGUUCACCUCUGUGGCUUGGAAUUAUCUCAGGAGCAUUCGUCUUCAGCCUCUGUGUUAACUAAAAAUCAAGCAUGAGGAGAUUCGUCUAUUGCAAGGUGGUUCUUGCCACUUCGCUGAUGUGGGUCCUUGUUGAUGUCUUCUUACUCCUUUACUUCAGUGAGUGUAACAAAUGUGAUGACAAGAAGGAGAGAUCCCUGCUGCCUGCACUGAGGGCCUGACAACUGAUAUCUCAGUAGUUGGAACUAUAUGCACAUGACUGCACAAAAUCAAGGCACCCACAAUCCCUGAAUUCAUGGAGAAAAGUCUCAUGACAUCUUCUCUGUUUGAAGAGCCAGUGACAGCUGAUGGAAGAAGGAGAGUCACUUUGUGGGGGAUGAAGGCCCGAGACACUACCCAUGCUCCAGUACGUGGUCCCAUAACCAUGCACAUACAGACAGUAUUAAGUGGCUUCAUUUUGUAUUAUAUUAAGAGCAAGAACACAUAAAAUUAAAGAGUAGUAUUGGAAAGAAUGGAGGAGGAUUGAAUGGAAGGGAAUGGGGGAUAGAUUUAAUCUAAACACAUUAUGUGUAUUAUGCAUAUUAAAAUAUUAAAUAAAAAUUUUCUAUCACUUCUACAUAAAGUGUACUUUCUGAAAAAAAUCAGUGUAUUUGUUUUUAAUCUUGUAAUGUCUCAAAAGUAUUCUAUGACCUAUGUAAAAUAGUAUGUAACAUUUCUGUGGUUAUUUUGCCAAUUCCUUGUGGUAAUUUAAGGCAAACUAGUGAGCACAAAGUGUUUAUUAUUUAACCCUUAUUAUAAGUUUUUAUUUGUUUCAGUCAUUGCUUUUAUUUCUGUUGAACUUAAUGGGACUUCAUGUUAUCAUUUAAAGGAGUGUGGUGCUAUCUAUUAUUGUCAUACCUACCAAGAAAUUUAGAACAUCUCUUUGGAUAUAAAAAUUAUAAGGAUCUUAAUUCCAAACAUUUGAACAGUAAUUCAACAAUUACAAUGCUUUUCAAACUCAUAUUUCCUCAGUCUCCUUAGAAAUCUGAACUUUUAAAAAGCUGUCAUAAAAACAUGACUUAGUUUAUGCAACUUGCUUACAUGAGUUAGAUGCCUAUAGAUAAAACUAAAAAUUGAGUUAAUGUUAUUCUAGGUGAUAUAUAGGCACAUUGUUAGAGGGAGAGAGGAAACACAACUGGGGUUUUUCUCUCCAGAAAUAACUUAAAAUGUCAGCAAUAAGAAAGCAAGCCAUGGUUAGGAUGCCAGAAUUGAAAACUAACAGGAAGGGGAGUGACUGUUACACAUCGUGUGCUUCUGUAAGGAAAGAGCAAGAAUAUCUAAAAGUAGAUUGUAACAGUUUACCUCGCUGAGAAUGGUUUCUUCUAGGUCCAUCCAUUUGCCUGCCUGUUUCAAG